AGAAAUAUGCCUCAAACACUUCACAACAUUCAUUUUCUUCAUUCAUUUCUGUACAAUAAUUAAUAUUUCAGUGAACCACUUGAGUCCUCACUUGCAUGAGUAUACCCUAUACUUAUCAUAGACAUGGUAGCCAGCGUUGACAAUCAUUUGCACCUGAAUUGACCACACCAACACAACUCAUUGUUUCUCAAAUAAGAAAAAUGACAUAAAUGCCUGUCUUUUUUUCCUAAAUUACAAACUUCAGCAAGACUUUUACUGUAUGGACCUCAAAGAAUUGAGACACUAAACUGGUUCAUUCAGGUCUCGCAUUUUUUAUAGGAAUGCUUGUUUUUCUGUCACCAA